rnacentral:rRNA from 1 species
CAGUAGCCGCGGUAAGACAGAGGAUGCAAGCGUUAUCCGGAAUGAUUGGGCGUAAAGCGUCUGUAGGUGGCUUUUCAAGUCCGCCGUCAAAUCCCAGGGCUCAACCCUGGACAGGCGGUGGAAACUACCAAGCUGGAGAACGGUAGGGGCAGAGGGAAUUUCCGGUGGAGCGGUGAAAUGCGUUGAGAUCGGAAGAACACCAACGGCGAAAGCACUCUGCUGGGCCGACACUGACACUGAGAGACGAAAGCUAGGGGAGCAAAUGGGAUUAGAUACCCCCGUAGUCCCUGUCUCUUAUACA